rnacentral:miRNA from 1 species
AGGGGGACCCUUAGAAGUUGUUGGGCUCAGUAGGCUCCUAGUCAUGCUUGAGGGUGAGCCUUUGGAAGAGGAAUUUGCC